GACGAACGCUGGCGGCGUGCUUAACACAUGCAAGUCGAGCGGUAAGGCCCUUUCGGGGGUACACGAGCGGCGAACGGGUGAGUAACACGUGGGUGACCUGCCCUCAGCUCUGGGAUAAGCCUGGGAAACCGGGUCUAAUACUGGAUAUGACUCCAUGACGCAUGUUGUGGGGUGGAAAGCCUUGUGCGGCUGAGGAUGGGCCCGCGGCCUAUCAGCUUGUUGGUGGGGNGAUGGCCUACCAAGGCGACGACGGGUAGCCGGCCUGAGAGGGCGACCGGCCACACUGGGACUGAGACACGGCCCAGACUCCUACGGGAGGGCAGCAGUGGGGAAUCUUGCGCAAUGGGCGAAAGCCUGACGCAGCGACGCCG
rnacentral:rRNA from 1 species